ACCUGUUCCCGCUUCCCAUGACGUCAGUGAUAUCUCGUCCAAUCACUUAUCCCAUCUCCCAUGACGUCAGCAAUCUCUCGUCCAAUCACUUGUCCCAUCUCCCAUGACGUCAGCAAUCUCUCGUCCAAUCACUUGUCCCAACUUCCCAUGACGUCACUAAUUCUCUCGUCCAAUAAACAUGCCCCGCUUGUCACGACGUCUGCGGCAUGUUUACCCAACCAGGAGAAAGUUUUUUAUUUGCACAUAUCACACACACUAACCGGAACGGAGAUCCUAUGGGGCUGCCGACGAAUACCUUUGACCGGCUCAAACAAGACGUGGUGUAGUCCUUUUCUCUUCACACUGUAGCCGCUAGAUUACCAACAGGAGUGAGAAGAAAAGGAAUGCAAAACAUGUGGCUGUCGGAUUUUACUUUUCCCCAUAUACAUGUCGUCCACACACAAGAGGACAGUAUUUGCGGCGGCUUCGGUACAGCCGGGUGCUGGACGGGGGCCAGCGCUAAUAUAUUGCCACUAUAAUCAUAAUAAAAAGUUCUUUGAAAAAAAAAAGUGAUAAAAAGAAAAAAAAAAGUGAAUUCAGUGUCGUCGAGUGUUUCAAGACAACUGUAAGCAUCAUCUGAAGAAGAUCGUCAGUGUCAAGAAAGAAAUUUCAAGCAAAAAAAAAAUUCGUUUGAAAAAAAAAAUGAAAAAGCAAAAAAAAAGUGGCAAUAUAUAAAUGUGGACGGAAAAAAAAGUGUGUCUUUGAAAAAAAAAAAAAGUUUCUGACAUACGUGAGGCAAGUAUGUCCGUGAAGAAAAAAAUAAAUCGAUGAAUAAAUAAUCACGUAAAUACCAGGAAACACACAAGGCUAAAAUCUAUUUUUUAAAAAAACGGGGCUGAUAUAAAAACUAAACCAAACCAAAAGACGGUAAACGAAAAAAAAAAAAAACGCAAUAACAAGGAUAAAAAAAAACACGAGAGCGCGCACACACACGCACGAUCACGCAAACACGUAAAAAAGGAAGCCAACGAAACCCACGCACUUCUUAACCCUUGGCAACGAAGCUCCUGCAGCCACGGGGAGACCACACGAGGAGGACCAGCUGUAUCUCCUGCACAUCCCUGGAUCCUACGCGCUGUAUCCCACGACGCACCGGAUGCAGCCUCUCCCCUUCAUCAUCUCUCCUGCCGAUGCUGAUGCUGGGACGCCUCCUGUUCCUCCUCCGUCAGCCACUCCUCCAGCAUCCUCGGGACGCAGCGGAGGCCGAGCGGAGGCCCUGCAUCGGCGGGGACUGCGGCCGGACUCUCAAGGUACGCGGGCGUGACGUCAUUCUUCGAGCGUAGGCCUACCUGAGCAGCCGGAAGCCCCGUGCUCUCUGUCAGCUGUUGUGUUACUUUGCAUCGGCGUCGUUGAAAGCAGAAAGAGCAAGGGAGUCAGAAAGUACGCGUGUAGGCAGGCAGGCAGGCAGGCAGGCAGGCAGGCAGGCAGGCAGGCAGGGUGCCUUCAGGAGCACCUCUCUCCCCCACUCUCCCCCCCCUCCUCCUGCGUCAGCCGCUACAGUAGCCUCCUGGUCCGCUCCAGGGCGGGGGUCAGUGCUCCCCAACCCCCCCUACCGUCCUGUCUUCAGAACUAUUCCCAACAAUAAUCUUCAACAAAGCUAAGAAAACCCGCUCUAAUGGUAACACAUACGAACAAUGUUCAUGAACGUUCCGAUUAAGCGCUGAGUAGGUGUGUGUGUCAUGAGUGAUGCCCACGGACGACCUUCAAUGUCAUGAGGCGCUUCUGACGACUAUGGUUCAUGAACUUUCUUCUCAAAAAAAAAAAAAAAAAAAAAAAAAAAAAAAAAUGGACACGUGUGAAUUAUUUUUUUCCUUGGAUAUGCAUCUGAUCAUCACCUGAUUUUCUCUCUCAUAAGCCUCAGCACUGAAUAGCAAGUACGUUCUUCGCAGAAUAAGGCUAUGAGUGAUUAAAAAAAAAAAGUACUUUAUACAUAUGCUGAAAUCCUUAUUUUUUCUUGUAUUCAUUCACCGGGACACCAAUCUGAAGGGGAAGGACACCAGCUCUCCGUACCUGGGGAGGAAGCACGCGACGUCACUGUGGCAGGACGUAUGUAGGGAGGAAGGACGGGGUGCCCUUAGCCUUCUGUCUGCCGAGCUUAUCACACACGGGUGGAAUUGGACACAGCGCCGUCUGCGAGCCCACGCAUUUUAGAAGAGUUACUCCGGGAAGAAAACGGGACUAGUUAUGAGGGAUGAGAGAAAAUGGGAACGAGUUUUCGAGCAUAGACAAUAAUAUUGUAGACAUUUUUUUGAUGUCAGUGGUUCAAGGACGAGAAACGGGACAACUAUGAACCAAAAAAUUAAAAAAACUCGGGAUAGAUGAUGUUUUUAGACGAGAACAAGGAGUGAUGAAGACCGUGAUUUUCUUAUUUUUUAUCAAAGAAUUGUUAUAUUAAUUCUAGUGUGUAAAUAUUCUCAACGUAAGAUUUGCUUGUGGCAAUGUUUGUUAGGAUGGUUAGUUUUAAUGGUUACUGAAACUGUUUCAGAAUUUGUUUUACUUUCCCUCAUUUCAUACGAUAGACACAACGGAAAUCAUAGUGUACAGUUAUUACAAAAAAAAUGCAUAAACAGGCAAAAAUAGGUCGUUGACUCUUUUUAAUGUACUGUACAUAUCUAGCGACAAAGUGUAAACCUGGCGAUUUUUUCCGAAAAAAAUAUAUGAUCCUUUUUUAAAAAUACUGUAGGUAACGUUUCAAAUAGGUGCUAUUGUUUAUUUUGUAUGCAGUGAGAGGGAACUUGAAUGAACCAACCCGCUAAAGGUAACGUAAAACUGCUACAAGUGAUUCUGUCUUUUUAUAUAAUGUCUACUGAAUUGUAUUUAUAUACUCCACUUGUAUUAUGGUUACACGAUUGUCAUUAUGCAAUGAUCUACUCCAAUUAAUUGGCUUUCACACACCAGAUCCACCCUCCGUCCAUCUUUUAGCAUUGACAGCGCAUUUUUCUCCAGGUUAUUGCACCUGUCAUUGUUGGAAUCAUGACGUCAUAGAUAUGAUCCGUUGUGACGUCAUCUUAAAUAGUGACGUCACCCUCCUGCAGCGCUGCCAGAUGUAAGCAUGGACAGAGGUGUGUGAUAUCCUUCACUCUGAAAGAUGAUUUAUAUUAUUGUAUUAAGCUUUUUUGAACGCACCUCGAGUGUCUAUAGGUUUCCUGACGCUCUCCAUUGUUAACGAGAAAAAAAUAAAUAAAUAUAUACAUAUACAUAUAAAUAUAUAUAUAUAUACAUAUACUUGUGAAAAUGAUAAAAAGUUGCGUACUGAUGCAUGAGCCGUGACAGGUAGAGUGUAUGCCAUAGAUAUCAUUGCCGCAGUUGAGAAUAUAUUCCAGUUUCUCCCUCCAGUUUCAUGAUAUAACCAUUAUACUGAGAUUCGACGCAGUUAAAAGUCGUGUUAAAGUCACCACGAGUCUGUUUUUUACCUAACUGUGUGAAAUAUUAUGAAUGGGCUUGUCACUGCUGAAGGUCGUAUGGAGAAGAAAAAACAACGUGAUACUUAUUGUGUCACUGUAACUGUAUUUCACUAUAACUUUAAGCAAGUGUAAUCAAAUAAGAGAUAUGACUUACAGUGAUAGGCUCAUUUUUUUUUAACCGUAUUAGGUAUAUAGGCCUAUUCUCUGUAUUGGAGAUGUGUGACUAUUAUAAACUACGCGGUCAUUAACCAUUAUAUGUUUUGUUAUUAUGUUUAAUAUAUUUUAAGUUCUUUGUAUUUCAUUUUAGAGUUAACCAUUCCUAUAUUUGUUUGCAUUCCCUUAGCAUGAGGGUCGAGCUGAGCGCGAUGAAGCGUCCAUUUUUGUUUUAUUUGUUUGUUUUUUAGUUCAUCUUUGUGUCCUUACGAGCGUGUCUGUGGGUGUAUUGUGAUUGUGUGUGCGUGUGUAUCGUGGGGUAUUUUGAGUGUGUGUGUAUGUAUGUGUGUGUGUGUGUGUAUGUGUGUGUGUGUGUGUGUGUGUGUGUGUGUGUGUGUGUGUGUGUGUGUGUGCGUGCGUGCGUGCGUGCAUGCGUAUGUGUGUGCGUGCGUGCGUGUCGCGCAUGUGCGUAUGCGUGUGCACGUGUGAAUAUGUGUUUUUCAUUAUGCGUGUCUGAGUGUGUCUGUGUCUGUACAUGUACAUCCAUACAGACACACCCAAACACACACUCGAUUUAGCAUGGACCUCCACAUCUUCAAAAAAAAAGAAGAAGAAAAAAUGAAUACAGGACGACUUCAAACUAACCACAACCUGUAGCCGAUUCGCUUACAUAUACCCGCCCGCAUUAUGCAACCUAUAACCGAAGCCUUAUAAAGGGAACUGAUGUUUAUAACGAAUUCUUAAUGCGAUUGAAGGACCCGAGUUUAAAUCCCCUCCAUUAAUUAAUAUCUCUCGGUCGCUUUAUUUUACUUUCGUUUUCCUUUUUUUUUAUUUUUUUUUUU